rnacentral:misc_RNA from 1 species
UGUAUUUUUUUUUUUUUUUUUUUUUUUUUUUUUUUUUUUUUUUUUUUUUUUAUGUAUUAAUUGUAAUUUUUUUUUUUUUUUUUUUUUUUUUUUUUUUUUUUUUUUUUUUUUAUAUCCAUAUAUAUGUAUAUAUGUAUAAAUUUUUUUUUUUUUUUUUUUUUUUUUUUUUUUUUUUUUUUUUUUUUUUUUUUUUUUUUUUUUUUUUUUCCAGUCUGGAGCGAGAGCGGGGUGUCUCACAAUCACACAGGUAAUAGUACACAAGUAAUUUGGUAUAAGAUGCUAAGACUAAAGAAAAUGUAUAUAAAGUGAAAAUAAAAGCUAAUAAAGUAUUUACAGGGCUUCAUAGGCCAGUGGUAAAACUUAAGACUAAUAAAAAUAAAAAUAGUGUGUAGAAUAUAAUAUAAGGAUCUAAUUACAUAUGUACAGAGCUUGGGCUUCAUAGGCCAGCGUUGAAGUCCUUGAGG